GUCAGGCUCACUGAAGGUGUAUUAUACAACCAGUUCCUCUCCCAAGUGGACUUUGAAGUCUUGCGGAAUUAUGCCCGCGACCUGGGCGUCCUGGUCUGGGAGAACCCCACCAAGAGGCUGAUGGUGGUGACUCCAGGGGGUCAUCCGGAUGUCAAGUGGUUCUGGAAACGUCAAAAGCACAGCUGACCAGCCGGGGGACUGGAGGGUCAACCCCUCAGCCGGGCCCACCCCCUUCCCCCCCCUCUUCGGGGAUCGGGAUGUGGAUCGCCACUCCCGGGAUAUUCCGUGACCAGGGACACACACACACACACACACACACACACAGAGCGAGCUCCGGUGUGGGGCUGAAGAGGGAGGGUGAUGGAGCCUGCGUUCUGAAGAGACUGAAUGGAACCAGCGCCCGUUUUCUAUGUUUUGUUGAUCUGCUUGUUUCUCAAUAAAAGAGGGGAGAAAAAAAAA